rnacentral:rRNA from 1 species
GAUGAACGCUGGCGGCGUGCCUAAUACAUGCAAGUCGAGCGAACGGACGAGAAGCUUGCUUCUCUGAUGUUAGCGGCGGACGGGUGAGUAACACGUGGAUAACCUACCUAUAAGACUGGGAUAACUUCGGGAAACCGUAGCUAAUACCGGAUAAUAUUUUGAACCGCAUGGUUCAAAAGUGAAAGACGGUCUUGCUGUCACUUAUAGAUGGAUCCGCGCUGCAUUAGCUAGUGGGUAAGGUAACGGCUUACCAAGGCAACGAUGCAUAGCCGACCGGAGAGGGGAAUGGCCCCCCCGGAACCUGGGCCCCGGCCAGAAUUCGGGGGGAGGCAGCAGUAGGGAAUCUUACGCAAUGGGCGAAAGCCUGACGGAGCAACGCCGCGUGAGUGAUGAAGGUCUUCGGAUCGUAAAACUCUGUUAUUAGGGAAGAACAUAUGUGUAAGUAACUGUGCACAUCUUGACGGUACCUAAUCAGAAAGCCACGGCUAACUACGUG